rnacentral:lncRNA from 1 species
CAACACACCAGGCAAAUGCAAAAUAAUCAACAUCAGGCAAAUACAAAAUAAAAACUGUUGCUUAAAAACACAUAAGGCAAAAUCCCACAAUAAAAUACAUGUAAAUCCAACACUGGAAUGGAUGAAAAAAUCAUGUGACAUGACCACGUAGGUGUUAUCUCAGGAAUUCCAGGACAAAUCACAUUAGAUAAUCGAUCUAUGUAUUUCAUUAAGCCUGGCAGGUUGAACACAUCUGCAUUCAUCUUUGUUCCCUGUGAAAUCCCAUGAAACCACCUGUAAUAGAGAGUUACAGGCAGA